GAUGAACGCUGGCGGCGUGCCUAAUACAUGCAAGUCGAGCGAACAGACGAGGAGCUUGCUCCUCUGACGUUAGCGGCGGACGGGUGAGUAACACGUGGAUAACCUACCUAUAAGACUGGGAUAACUUCGGGAAACCGGAGCUAAUACCGGAUAAUAUAUUGAACCGCAUGGUUCAAUAGUGAAAGACGGUUUUGCUGUCACUUAUAGAUGGAUCCGCGCCGCAUUAGCUAGUUGGUAAGGUAACGGCUUACCAAGGCAACGAUGCGUAGCCGACCUGAGAGGGUGAAAGGCCACACUGGAACUGAGACACGGUGCAGACUACUACGGGAGGCAGAAGUAGGGAAUUUUCCGCAAUGGACGAAAGCCUGACGGAGCAACGCCGCGUGAGUGAUGAAGGUCUUCGGAUCGUAAAACUCUGUUAUUAGGGAAGAAAAAAUGUGUAAGUAACUAUGCACGUCUUGACGGUACCUAAUCAGAAAGCCACGGCUAACUACGUG
rnacentral:rRNA from 1 species